UACGGGGGGGGCAAGCGUUGUUCGGAAUUACUGGGCGUAAAGGGCUCGUAGGCGGCCAACUAAGUCGGAUGUGAAAUCCCCAGGCUCAACCUGGGAACUGCAUCCGAUACUGGAUGGCUUGAAUUCGGGAGAGGGAUGCGGAAUUCCAGGUGUAGCGGUGAAAUGCGUAGAUAUCUGGAGGAACACCGGUGGCGAAGGCGGCAUCCUGGACCAAUAUUGACGCUGAGGAGCGAAAGCCAGGGGAGCAAACGGG
rnacentral:rRNA from 1 species